UACAGAGGUGGCAAGCGUUGUUCGGAUUUAUUGGGCGUAAAGGGUCCGUAGGCGGUUUGGAAAGUUGGAUGUGAAAGCCCACAGCUCAACUGUGGAAUGGCAUUCAAAACUUCCAGACUCGAGUGUGAAAGGGGUAAAGGGAAUUCCCGGUGUAAGGGUGAAAUCUGCAGAGAUCGGGAAGAACACCAGUCGCGAAGGCGCUUUACUGGUUCACAACUGACGCUGAGGGACGAAAGCUAGGGGAGCAAACGGG
rnacentral:rRNA from 1 species